rnacentral:lncRNA from 1 species
CCCCUAUCCAUAUAAUACUGCCCGAAAAUUAUUCCCCCUAUCCCCCAUCUCAAAACUCCUCAUUUCAUCUCUAACACCCCUAAAUCUAAAACCCUAACCGCCUCUACAUUCCUCGUCGUCUCUGCUGCCAACCGCUACCGGAGAUCUCUUCACGGCGGCUCCGAUGUCCCAAACACCACCAAUUUAAUACCAUAGAACCCCAUCAUCUCCUCGUUCUAAAUAUCCAAUUCAUUUCUUUGAAAUCACCACCAAAAACCUCAAAUUUCAAAUCCGAGAUUCAUGCCCAAAAACCCUAAGUGUUCCUAAUCACCCUAAAUUAACAUCAUAUAAUCCUUGCACCCCUAUGAACCCUAAACCACCAUUAGCCCCCGUCAAAUUAGCCCCACCUGCAUCGAAUUUUUGAAUCCAAGAUUUCAGAACCCUAAUUUUCUUUCACCUCCAAAAUUUUCAGCAAUUUUUGGGGCUUUUGAACCCAAGACUCCUAUGAAUUCAUUGCCCUUAAUAAGAGCAAUUAAUUCAUGGUUGUCUAAAGUUCAUUCGUACCCCGAGAAUUUGGGUCUUAAUCCGAAAGUUAGUCCAGUCUAUUGGAAGACUAAGUUUAGGUAAAUUUUCAUUCCUUUUUCUGUUUUUUCUAUCUUUUUUUCAUGUUCCAAUUGCAUGAAUUUAGUUUGAUUAGAGUUUCUUUUAGCUUGGUACCUCAAGUGACUACACUGUUAUUUUUUUCAUAAUUCGAUCUCCUGUUUAUGUUCAGCUUCGUUUGUCUAAUCUGUUUGUUUAGGCUCAUAAAAUUGAUUGUUUCGAUUAUGUAAGUUUGCACAUUUAGUAAGUUAAAUCCUAGUUUUUCUUUGCAUUUUUCAUAUCAUUUCUGAUCAAUUAUCUAGCUACAAUAAUCAUUGAACUUUAAGUUUGUUUUAGGUUUAUUUAGAUAAAUAUUUUUGUCUAUCAAGUAGGUUAAUUACAGUUUAAAUUGCAUCAGAUCUCUUACUUUUGUUUCGGUUAACAUCUUUUCAUCUUUCGAUUUGUUCAGAUUGUGUUUGACAUAAUUUUGUUAAUCAAUGGAAUCCUUAGGGAGCUAAUUGAACUAAAAACACUUAGGAUAAAGCUGAUAUAUGGUAGUAAUUGGAAGGGUAAAAAUAUACUUUCACAUAGGCUAAAACCAGAAGUUUCUAGUAUUUAGGACAGAUGUCCAUAUCCUUAGCAAAAAUGCUAGUUUUGGAUAAGGGAAAGGACAGACAACUAUAAAAGAUGUUGUACUAUCCUGAAAAAAUUAGUUUUAGGUUAGAAUAUGCUCUUUUGAUGUCUUUUUGGGCAUUCCAUAAAAAGGAAAUAUUCCCUCAUUCAGAGAUAGGAUUUUCAACAUCGUUUCACUGCAUAAAGAUUCCUUUUCUCCGAAAAAGUUUAGGUUUUAGAAAUCUUAGAAGAACUUCAAAAACUUCUCAUUUCUGAUUCUUUACAAGUUGAGAAUAUGGUUUGAAAAUAGAGGAUUUUCUUGGUUUUAGCUGGGAUUUUGGUUUGAAAAGCUGAGUGGGUUUGGUUCAAAUUCUGGGACUUAUUCGAUUUGAUGUAGUUGUGUUUGUUUACUGCAACUGUUUUCUUUCUUCUCAAGUUUUCAGCAGUUUUCUUUCGUCUUGCUUGUUGUUUUUCUAUUACUGUUCAAGGUAUACAUAUUCUUCCAUAUUUAAAUGUUUGUAAAUGAAGUUUAAAGAUGAAAUAUAAGCUGUUCUUUCCUUCUAAUGUUAUAUAUUUGUGUCUUCUUGCUGGAUUUAUCACCGAAAUUGCAACCAUAUUGAAAAUUUUCCUUCUUAAAUGAGUGAUCCUUUGUCUUUUUAUUUUUGUAUCAUGAGUAUUUGUUUCUUUGUAUGGGUUUAGCUUGGUUGUUCGUUUGCUUCAGUUGAUAAAUAUACUAAUCUUUUGUUUCAUUAGUCAUAUUGCAUGUUAGAUAGUUUGACAAUUAAUAAAGUGUGUUGGUUAUGCUUUCUUUAUUUCCUCUUUUCUUUCAUCUGAUAACUUCCUCUUUACUCAAAAUCAUUAUUUUUCUUUCUUUCUUUGUUUGCAAUGGCCUCCAAAUUUGGUCACUGGUUGGUCAAAUCAGUAGGUUUCAAAGCUAGAAAGAGGGAAUCAAGUUGCCUUAAGAAGACCAAGCUCUAAUGGACAAGUCAUGUCCAAAAGAAGCCGGGUAUCCGCAUGAUGUUAGCUAUAGUAAUUCAUAAUAGUUUAGCUCUUAAAUGUAAGUUAAGUCUCAAUGUAAUGUAUUGAUUUUUGAAGGUCACUGGUUCCAUUCGCAAAAAUUGUAAUAAGUCAGACCUUAAUAUUGAUGCAUUUGGGAGUUAAUUAUAUUUUUUGUUAUGCCUUUACAAAGUAGUAAUGUUGCUGGGCUUGAGACUAUUCAGCAUAUCAAAGGUUUUUUAGUAAAUAGAAAAAAGGCUGAAUUUCUAGCCCAAAGUAAGAGACUGAACUAAGAUGGUUUCGGCUUGGUUUAUAGGCCCAAACUUUAAGUUAGUCCAGAACCCCUUUUUUCAUGAAUCAUUAUGUUUAAAUUGAUUACUCUUCAGUGAUAGAAUCAUGUUUAGUCUUCAAAUUCCAUCCCUGUUUGAACGUAUGAUCAACUGUUGAAUUAGAGUUAUAUAUUUUAGUUUUAUUUAAAGGCAAGUUGAUUUUUUAAUUACAUUAAAUAGGUAAGUAAUGGCUAAAGAUAGAGGUGGGAAGGCCCGGCUAGGAAAAGUAGCUACUGAGCGCGCCUAUUGCAAGUCCUAUAUAGGCCAGCUUCGUUCAAUCCAAAUUUGGAACAUCAAGAGCCUGCUGGGGCUCUUCCAUUUCACUUGGUCUAAAAUCUUAGCGCAAAUACAGCUUCCUGUGAAGCUGAACCUUCUAAUUAAACCCAAUAGUUAAUGCCUAGGACUAAAUUCCUUUCC